rnacentral:rRNA from 1 species
AUGAACGCUGGCGGCGUGCCUCAUACAUGCACGUCGAGCGAACAGAUGAGGAGCUUGCUCCUCUGACGUUAGCGGCGGACGGGUGAGUAACACGUGGAUAACCUACCUAUAAGACUGGGAUAACUUCGGGAAACCGGAGCUAAUACCGGAUAAUAUAUUGAACCGCAUGGUUCAAUAGUGAAAGAUGGUUUUGCUGUCACUUAUAGAUGGAUCCGCGCCGCAUUAGCUAGUUGGUAAGGUAACGGCUUACCAAGGCAACGAUGCGUAGCCGACCUGAGAGGGUGAUCGGCCACACUGGAACUGAGACACGGUCCAGACUCCUACGGGAGGCAGCAGUAGGGAAUCUUCCGCAAUGGGCGAAAGCCUGACGGAGCAACGCCGCGUGAGUGAUGAAGGUCUUCGGAUCGUAAAACUCUGUUAUUAGGGAAGAACAAAUGUGUAAGUAACUAUGCACGUCUUGACGGUACCUAAUCAGAAAGCCACGGCUAACUACGUG